rnacentral:rRNA from 1 species
UACGAAGGGGGCUAGCGUUGUUCGGAAUUACUGGGCGUAAAGCGCGCGCAGGCGGCUAUCCAAGUCAGUGGUGAAAGCCCGGAGCUCAACUCCGGAACUGCCAUUGAAACUGUUUAGCUUGAGGAUGAGAGAGGUGAGUGGAAUUCCCAGUGUAGAGGUGAAAUUCGUAGAUAUUAGGAAGAACACCGGUGGCGAAGGCGGCGACCUGGUCCGGGACCGACGCUGAGGCGCGAAAGCGUGGGGAGCAAACAGG